AUAGAGCCCACCCUCUGCUUAAAAUAAGAAGAAAAGGCAUCUCAUCUUUCUUAGGCUUCAUUGGUUUCCUUCCCAUUUUUUUUUUCCCUUCUGUACUCCCAGAGUAAGCCCUUCGAUAGAGAGGAUGGCUGAAGGUUGAAGACUACACAGGGCCUCCUUGUUACUUUGGAUUUGUGACUGCCUACUCUAAACCCCUGAGUUCCUCUUGUACAAGGAUCAUGGGACCUCACCACCACCACCACCACCCCCACCAUGAAGGCCACAGCCCAUAUGAUGAUCCCUUUUUGGCCUGCCUUUGCUGCCCUUGCUUUCUGGUUUCUUCCAUCAUUGGAGGGUUUGGGAGAUUCGUCUUUGAUGCCUGCCACCCCAUACUGCAAUGCUUAGGAUUGGACGAGCACAGGCAUCACCACCAUCACAGCCAUUUCCCUUGAUAUGAUUCCUCUGGCAAGCCAUCCUUGAACACGUUUAUAAUGUUUUGAUGCUUUCUAAAAGUUACAAUACCUCUGGGAUAGGAACGUUACCGAUGAAUUUUGUGCAAGUUCGUGGGCUAAUGCGAGAUGGUUAGUGCGACAAUGUUCUCCAAAUUUGCACUCAGAAGGCUUUUGUUGGAACCAUGAACUUUCAAGAACUUUGUGUUGCUUCUCGAAGUGUACAUUUUGAGUCAUGUACCGAAAAAACAAAAAACAGUGUACAUUUGAGUUGCUUCGGUUUGAACAUGACUGGUGAUCUCGUUAGCUCAUGUGGUGUAUCUACAACCAGACUGUGAAAGACAAAUUCACCACUCAGUUGGCUUUCCAUUCUUCUUAUCUAGCUUUAUAAAGUUGUUUUUUAA